ACUUCCGGUCUCGUUGGUGACCAGCGGAGGGUCAUUACCGAGUUUACAACUCCCAAACCCCUGUGAACAUACCUUAUGUUGCCUCGGCGGAUCAGCCCGCGCCCCGUAAAAAGGGACGGCCCGCCGCAGGAACCCUAAACUCUGUUUUUAGUGGAACUUCUGAGUAUAAAAAACAAAUAAAUCAAAACUUUCAACAACGGAUCUCUUGGUUCUGGCAUCGAUGAAGAACGCAGCAAAAUGCGAUAAGUAAUGUGAAUUGCAGAAUUCAGUGAAUCAUCGAAUCUUUGAACGCACAUUGCGCCCGCCAGUAUUCUGGCGGGCAUGCCUGUUCGAGCGUCAUUUCAACCCUCAAGCCCAGCUUGGUGUUGGGAGCUGCAGUCCUGCUGCACUCCCCAAAUACAUUGGCGGUCACGUCGAGCUUCCAUAGCGUAGUAAUUUACACAUCGUUACUGGUAAUCGUCGCGGCCACGCCGUUAAACCCCAACUUCUGAAUGUUGACCUCGGAUCAGGUAGGAAUACCCGCUGAACUUAAGCAUAUCAAAGCCGGGAAGGAAU
rnacentral:rRNA from 1 species